rnacentral:rRNA from 1 species
ACUUAAAUUGAAGAGUUUGAUCAUGGCUCAGAUUGAACGCUGGCGGCAGGCCUAACACAUGCAAGUCGAGCGGUAGCACAGAGAGCUUGCUCUCGGGUGACGAGCGGCGGACGGGUGAGUAAUGUCUGGGAAACUGCCUGAUGGAGGGGGAUAACUACUGGAAACGGUAGCUAAUACCGCAUAAUGUCGCAAGACCAAAGUGGGGGACCUUCGGGCCUCAUGCCAUCAGAUGUGCCCAGAUGGGAUUAGCUAGUAGGUGGGGUAAUGGCUCACCUAGGCGACGAUCCCUAGCUGGUCUGAGAGGAUGACCAGCCACACUGGAACUGAGACACGGUCCAGACUCCUACGGGAGGCAGCAGUGGGGAAUAUUGCACAAUGGGCGCAAGCCUGAUGCAGCCAUGCCGCGUGUGUGAAGAAGGCCUUCGGGUUGUAAAGCACUUUCAGCGGGGAGGAAGGCGAUAAGGUUAAUAACCUUGUCGAUUGACGUUACCCGCAGAAGAAGCACCGGCUAACUCCGUGCCAGCAGCCGCGGUAAUACGGAGGGUGCAAGCGUUAAUCGGAAUUACUGGGCGUAAAGCGCACGCAGGCGGUCUGUCAAGUCGGAUGUGAAAUCCCCGGGCUCAACCUGGGAACUGCAUUCGAAACUGGCAGGCUAGAGUCUUGUAGAGGGGGGUAGAAUUCCAGGUGUAGCGGUGAAAUGCGUAGAGAUCUGGAGGAAUACCGGUGGCGAAGGCGGCCCCCUGGACAAAGACUGACGCUCAGGUGCGAAAGCGUGGGGAGCAAACAGGAUUAGAUACCCUGGUAGUCCACGCCGUAAACGAUGUCGAUUUGGAGGUUGUGCCCUUGAGGCGUGGCUUCCGGAGCUAACGCGUUAAAUCGACCGCCUGGGGAGUACGGCCGCAAGGUUAAAACUCAAAUGAAUUGACGGGGGCCCGCACAAGCGGUGGAGCAUGUGGUUUAAUUCGAUGCAACGCGAAGAACCUUACCUGGUCUUGACAUCCACAGAACUUUCCAGAGAUGGAUUGGUGCCUUCGGGAACUGUGAGACAGGUGCUGCAUGGCUGUCGUCAGCUCGUGUUGUGAAAUGUUGGGUUAAGUCCCGCAACGAGCGCAACCCUUAUCCUUUGUUGCCAGCGGUUAGGCCGGGAACUCAAAGGAGACUGCCAGUGAUAAACUGGAGGAAGGUGGGGAUGACGUCAAGUCAUCAUGGCCCUUACGACCAGGGCUACACACGUGCUACAAUGGCAUAUACAAAGAGAAGCGACCUCGCGAGAGCAAGCGGACCUCAUAAAGUAUGUCGUAGUCCGGAUUGGAGUCUGCAACUCGACUCCAUGAAGUCGGAAUCGCUAGUAAUCGUAGAUCAGAAUGCUACGGUGAAUACGUUCCCGGGCCUUGUACACACCGCCCGUCACACCAUGGGAGUGGGUUGCAAAAGAAGUAGGUAGCUUAACCUUCGGGAGGGCGCUUACCACUUUGUGAUUCAUGACUGGGGUGAAGUCGUAACAAGGUAACCGUAGGGGAACCUGCGGUUGGAUCACCUCCUUACCUUAAAGAA